rnacentral:lncRNA from 1 species
UAACUGCUAAGAACAAUUUCAUUUUGAGGACCACCAACAAUUGAAAAUGAAGAAAAAUCGAAGGGGAGAUGAGAGAAAAGAAGGGGCAACAUUUAUUUAUUCUGUUAUUGUAAAUAAAACAACCCCAAAAGCUUAGGUCAUAGACUCAAGACAUGAGUACAGUUUGGCAUGUGAAACCUUUUAUGUCCCGUCUCUUUCACUACCCACUAAUUCUAACUAUUUCCUCUUUCUUACACUGCUGUAAUGUAUAAUUAAUAAAAA